GUGCCAGCAGCCGCGGUAAUACGUAGGGUGCAAGCGUUGUCCGGAAUUAUUGGGCGUAAAGAGCUCGUAGGCGGCUUGUCGCGUCUGCUGUGAAAACCCGAGGCUCAACCUCGGGCUUGCAGUGGGUACGGGCAGGCUAGAGUGCGGUAGGGGAGAUUGGAAUUCCUGGUGUAGCGGUGGAAUGCGCAGAUAUCAGGAGGAACACCGAUGGCGAAGGCAGAUCUCUGGGCCGCUACUGACGCUGAGGAGCGAAAGCAUGGGGAGCGAACAGGAUUAGAUACCCUGGUAGUCCAUGCCGUAAACGUUGGGAACUAGAUGUAGGGCCUGUUCCACGGGUUCUGUGUCGUAGCUAACGCAUUAAGUUCCCCGCCUGGGGAGUACGGCCGCAAGGCUAAA
rnacentral:rRNA from 1 species